rnacentral:lncRNA from 1 species
CACACACACACACACACACACACACACACACACACACCUUUUGGGGGGGCCGGUGCAGAGCUGCAUGGUUGCGUGGAUUUCCAGUAUACGGACUUUAGUAUAGGAUCCUCUCUCGUAUGCGCUGUCUGUCUGUCUGUCUGUCUGUCUGCUGCAAUGUCGCUCCUGUCGCUCCUUUUUGGUUUGCGGCUUUUCGGUUUUUCUGUGAAAAGCGGUGUAAAGCUUUUUUCCUUCGAGAGGAAAUCACUUAUGUAUGUAUGUAUGUAUGUCAUCUACCUUGAUCCUCCCGUACUCCCGCAGGGAUCGGGGUUACGACCCGGAAGAUUACCACGGGGAGGGUUUCGCGGAGGACCGUGACGGGGAACGGUACGCGCCGUCGACGUCUCGAGGAAAACACGGUGCCGCCGCCGCCGCCGCCGCCGCCGCCACGUCGGCGCCGUCGCCUGCUGGCAAGGCUGCGGCGGUGGUGGCGACGAGCAGUGGCAAGGGCGUCGGCAGGAGAGCUGAGGAUGGCGGAGGCGGCGGUCGGGGACACGAGCGAAGCCGGAGUCGUAGCCCCGUGCGCGGCUCCCGAGGCGGCGGCGCCGGAGCGGACGUGGGACGGUACGGCAGCGGCCGCGGCGGCGGGAGCCGCCGCGGCGGCGGCGACCAUGACGAUCACCAUGACCUGCCGGAGUCCGACGGAGGUUCGCGGCGCGGCCGCAUCGAAUGGGUAUUGCGAAAAGGCAGUGGCGGCGCCAGCGCCGGCGCCGGCGCCGGCGACUCCACCGUUUUUGCUGGCGCCGCCGGCGGCGCCGCCGGCGCGAAGGAUGCAGAGGGCUCUCGCGUGCCUUCGCGUCAGGGGGGCUUCGCGGCGCGUAUGUUCAAUCAAACGUUGGGGCAGGCUCUGCAGGAACAGCAGCAACAACGUCGCGGCGGCGGCGGCGGCGCUACUGCCGUAGGAGAUGACGCGGCCAGUGGCGGCGGCGGCGGCGGCGGCCGCAGCAGCGAUCGCUGGCUUGAACGUGAGACUAUCCCCCGGCGGGAGGAGCGUCGAGAGGUUCGGGAAGCUUCUCGAGGCGGCGGCGGCGGCGGCGGCGGCGGUAGAGGUCCCGGUGACAAAGGGGGGGACAGCGAUGAGGACCGGCCUCGGCGGCGUUACCGCGACUGACUGCCGUACAUUCAUCCCAUCCAUCAAGAAUAACAUUUGAAGGCCGUGACGGGCGGUUGGGCCCGCCAAAAUGUACGGUGCGGCAUGUACGGCUACGUACCGCCCGUACCGUGAGGCCCUUGCCCCCGUGUACGGGGUGCUGUCCUCCUCUAAGUUUUAGUUAGUUACGUGGAGGCCAGCACUCCCACCUCCAUUUCUCACUCGCACGUGUAUAGAUGUAUCUUUGCUAUUUUUCUGGUCCUGAAAGCUGAUGGAGCUUGCGCAGCUAGGCGGGGUUAGGCGGGGGCGGGUAAGGGAUCGUGUUUGUCGGUCGAAAGGAGGGGCUCGGCGGCGGGGGAGAGGGGGAGAAAGGAGGGAACGAGGGCAGUGACCACCGUCCUGGCGACCUCGCCCGCAUUCGUUUCGUUCCGGUGUUGUUGUACAAAAGCACGAUGUACGGUGUCGUACGGUGUACGGCGAUGAUGCCGAUUUGGUUGGGAAAAUGUAUGACGUCUAGGGACAUGUAUGUAUGUAUGUCGCUGUGGAGGAGGAGGGGACGAGCAGCACGCAAAGGUCUGUCAUGGAGCGCGCCCCAAUGCCACAUCAGGCUGUACGGCAGUACGGCAGUACAGAUGAAAAAAAGCGGUGGGAAGGGCUGCGGGAAGGGGUUACGGGAGCCCAAGGGUUUGUGAAGUUUGUGAGACUCCGGUGGACUCUGUUGUGAGGGGGGUGGGGGCAGAUGCGGUGUUGACGGUGGUGUGGUGUGGAUCUACGACCUAUGUGUGGAUCGACAGCUUCCUUCUUGUCGCAUUGGCGGGCGACAGCCUUUUCCUGUCAAUGGUGGGUGCAAAGAGCACACACACACACACAGAGGGGGAUGCCUGUCUAGGUGUGUGUGUGUGUGCGGAGCUGGUCGCAGGAACAGAUUCAACUCCACAGGGAUGGCGUUGGGGCACCAGCAGCCACACGAAGGGCUGACCGCCUGGGCUGACCACCUGGAGGCGCGGCUGCCGCUCGAGUGGGAUUUCUGUAAAUUGAGGAGGUUAUUGCGGGGGGAGGAACGGGGGGGGGGGAGAGAGCCGCGGGUAGAGGAGCAUCAUGGCCACACAUGCCCAAAGAACUGCAGAUGAGGGGGAGGAAGACGAUCACGAGCGAGUGAAGGAGGAGCGGGGCGAGGGGGAGGGGGAUGAGAAGGAGGAGGAGGAAGAGGAGGAGGAGGAAGAGGAGGGGGAGGAGGAGGAGGAGGGGGAGGAGGAAGAAGAGGGGGAAGAGGAGGAGGGGGAGGAGGAAGAAGAGGGGGAAGAGGAGGAGGGGGAAAGGAAGCUAUGUUCGGGCCCUGAUGUUGCUCUCAUGCGGAAGGUGUGGUGUUCGUGUGUGGUGGGUUUGGGCCGGGGGGGGGAGAGGGAAAAGAGGGGCCCCACUAGCCAAUGAUGGCGGGGCCAGCAGCGGCAGCAGGGGAAGGACGAGGCUGGGGAUGGUGCGGGCGGACGGGGUCGACAGAAAAUGCGGCAGAUGGCGGGAAGUCAUUUCUGAAGGGAGAGAGUGGAAUGGACGAUAAGCUGGAGCUGGCUGCGGAGAGGGGGGGAGAGAGAGCAAAGGCUGCGGCAGUGGCGGGGCUGGAAGAGGAGUAUGUAUGCAUGUAUGUAUGUGUGUGUGUUUUCGCAAUGGCCUGUUUAGGAAUGGGGGCCUGCGCUGGUGGGGAUGGGGGAAGUUGGAGUUAGGGUUUUAAGGGAGCCCCUCUCGCCCUCCCCCCCGGGGCAUGGCAUGUUUUUGAACAGAGAGUUAGCUCGGUUCAUCUCUGUAUGUACGUAUGUACCUAUGUACGUGCGUAUGUAUGUAUGUCGUUGAUAGCACUGUGGGCUUCAAAGCCGGGGGGAUGCCCAGGGCCGAAACACAGCGCGGGGGGGGGUGCAGAUGCACACGGCUGGUUAGUCUCGUGCAUUCCAUAUAUAUGUAUGUAUGUAUGUUUUUUCUUUUUUCUUGUUCUUGUACCGCCUUAUCCGCCCAGUAGAGUACCCGGAGGCGCCUGCUCUUGUUUGCUCUCUUGAUGUUUGCCCUCUUUACGGUCUCCGUGAACAGCGUAAUGGAGACCUUUUUGUCCGUCGUUGUCUGCUGUCCCAGUCGUCAAGCUCGAUUUCUUUUGCCUUGUUCUUUUUUUCUCUCCAUCUGCCUUUCUCUCUCUCUCUCUGCGUUGCUCUCUGCCGCCGCCGCCGCCGCUGGCGGGGUAUCCAAAGAUGCUUCUGGCUCCGGGACUAACAACAAUCAGCGAUGGCUGCGACCGAGGUGGCUGGGUGGCGGCACACAUCGCCAACCGCCGCAGACCUCCCUCCGGCCCGAAGGGCCCUCCCGCUCCUCCGCGGCCCCCUUCUGCAGCUUUUCUUUUUCCCUGGGAAGCUGGGAGUUAGCUGGGAGGUUUUCUUUCCUUGGCUUUUCUUUUUUCUUGGCAAUUUGGAAACGGAGGACUUCGAUGGAGGAAAUCUCGACGGAGGAAAUCUCGAUGUUUGAGUUCCAUAUGGUUAGGGGUGAGGGAUUGGCAGCCUGGGGUUAGAUUAGGAGGGGGGGGAGGAGGGAGGGGUUGUGGUGAAGGGGGGAUGAGGAAGGAUGGAAGGGCGUUGACGAUGGUGAUGGCGAUGGCGAUGGUGAUGGCGAUGGUGAUGGUGAUGGCAAUGGUGAUGGCAAUGGUGAUGGCAAUGGCGAUGGCAAUGGUGAUGGCGAUGGUGAUGGCGAUGGCGAUGGUGAUGGAUUGUGUUAGGGGGUGGGGCCCCACGGCGACCCACUACAUCCCGACAUGCAUUCCCCCAGACGCGAGGUGUUUCUAUGUGCCCCUCUUUGACGGGAAAGAGGUGGAUAGAGGGACUCACUCUCUCUUUCUUUCUUUCGCGCAAGCGUGUGUGUGUUUUGUUUUCAUGUCUUGUGUGCACGUGUCUCAUAUGUCUUCGUCUAUUCUGAAGUCCCGUUGCGUUUCUGUUGGGUAGGAGAAGAUGAGGGGGAGAUGGAAGAUGUUGGUGGCGCUAGUUGCGGCAAGCCGUUUCCUGUUGUUGAGUUUUUUUCGUUUUUCGUUUCCUGUUUUUCGUUAUUGGGUAGUUCGAGGCAGGUAGACGCAGGUAAUCGGCAGAGGUAGGUAGCUGACUAGGUAGGCAGGCAGGUAGACGCAGGUAGACGCAGGUAGGCGUAUCCAAAGCCGCUGGCAGGGACAGCUGUUAUGGAGCGCAGCUUCUGACUGGCAAUAGAGAGAACUGUAGCACAGCUGGAAAUCCUCUCAAAAAAAGAUUUCUCAUUUUGUUCAUAGUUUUCUGCUAAUGUUUUCUGUUAACGUGAGCGUGUGGCGCAUGAGCUGUCAGCUGCUUGAAAAAAAAACAAUUUUCAACUUCUUCAGGGAUUUAGGUAAUGGUCUGAGGACGCUUUAUAUGAAAAUGUGCGCUUUGAAAUGUUCGGCGGAUCUUACGUAUGAUUUAUGUGGUUCUUGGUUUCCAUAGCUAAGUCGCCUUUUUUCUCUCUCUCUCUCUCUCUCUCUCUCUCUCUCUCUCUUUGAGACGCGCUUUCCCGCCGCGUGGGGUUCAACCCCGCGAAUCUUUCCUCUUGCUGUUUCUUUUUGUGCUUUUUAUCGUUGCUACUAUGAAUGUGUAGCAGUCGCAACAGCAGCAGCAUUAGCAGCUGUGCAUGGCAGCAGUGCAGACGCAACGGGCAGAGCACCAGGAAGGGAAGCAGACGCCCGGCCGGGGUUUAGCCAGGCCAGUGUUGAAGGGCGAUACGAUAACCAUAUCUAUCUAUCUGAUGGUUGGUUCGGAUUCCGUGGGAAAAGAAAGAAGGGCGCUGCGAGGUGCCGUACAGUGUGUAUCGUACAUCUUCAUGGCGUUGUCGCCAUGGCCAUGGGCUAUAAAAAGGCACACGAAUGCGAAUUGCGCGUGAUGACGUGUUUAAAAUGUGUGACAUCGCCUUCGUUCUUAAUUUGCGUAUGUGUUUGUCUGUAUGUGUAUAAAAAUCAGCCAUCUUGAUAUGUGCAGCUGAUGGUAAUUCGGAGCGGUAUUCGCGCGUUGGAGUAGAAAACAGAAGCGGUGGCUUUUCAUGCACGCUGUCGCACGCAUAGCGGAGAUCUGUAAAAAGCGGGGCCGGUGUACGAGUCUGAAAUCUGGGAAAAAAAAGGGCAGGAGAAGUAGUUUAAAAAAAGUUGAGUAGUGAGGGUAUAGGAGUCACGCAAUAAGAAGAGGUUUUGGAUACAUGGGGGAACCUGUGUUGUGUUUUGGGGGGCAUGUCUCCUACUACGUCGCCUGAUGGACGAGGGCAUUUCAAGCCAUGGGCAUUUCAAGUGACGCGCUUGGCGUUAUGGCUGGGGGGAGGGCCGUUACGCGUAUAUGUAUAUACAUAUAUAUGUAUAUAUAUGUAUAUAUACAUAUAUAAAUGUGUGUGCGUCACGGGCUCUCCUGCUGCUGCUAAUAUAGGUUCAAAAAGGGAGAGUUAAGCGGAAAAAGUGCUAAACCCAAAUCUUAAAACAGUUGGUGAGAUUUUGCGGCGUCCUGCAGCCCACCAGCUGCCGUUUGGGCUCUGCGUUGCUUGGUGUUUUAAUCAUUAUAGUCAAAGUGUUUUUCUUUAUUACGUCUUUGUUUCCGAUGGCACGAAUGUUUUUACUCGGGCUCGAACGCGUGUGGAUAGAUCUACUAUUAGAGAGGCGGUGGCAGCGUAUUUGUUUCGGUGCUUUUGUACAAGAUAGAUAAAAAAAACUAAUAAGGGCCAGACAUACUUGUCGCGUUGCAUGGGAUGACGCUAAUGGCUUUCCAGCUGAACAGGAAGCUGCUUAGAGAACUCUCUAGGUAGGGGAUGUAAUUCUGUCAUGAUCGCUUUUGAAAUUUGAAUUAUUCCCGCAAUCUUCUGCAAUCCUGCUACACGUCCUUGCGCUUCUUAGGACGGACGUGUGUUUUACUGCUACGGAAAAAGCACCACCACAAAAAUAAAAGGCUGGAACUGUUACCUAAAUAUAUAUAUUUUUACAUGGGCCAAAUGUACGAUGUGAAUCCAUGUACGGUCGACGUCAUUUGUACAACAGUCGUGGGGCCUGUGUGGACCAUCAACUCCUCCUCGGCUUAUUAGUUUCGCGGCCUUCUCUGCCUCUGGCCAAUCGCCCUCACAUCUCUCCAAAUCAGUCCAUUUUUAUAGCUUGGGCCAUAUCCGCCAACUGCACGAUACACCAGGAGUCACUCCAUACGCAUCAGCCACACCAAACAGCAACAGCAGCAGCAGCUGAUGCAUAAUACAGCUGUAUGUGGCCUGCAGGCCACAUGCGGGCGGCGUGUACGACAAUACAACCACCUUUGAUUUCUUUAGCUUUCCGUUUUUUAGCGCGCGACCAAAUUUCCCCUAAUCUAAUUAAACAGGAUUUGUGUGGUACCUAAAAAGACCUAUUAUUUAUACAAUAAAAACAACGGCAACAUCCGGAGAGGAAGAAAAAGCACGACGCGGUCUAAAUCGAAGUCGGCAGAAAUCCCUUUUCCCCUCCCCUCCCCCUCAUUUUCCAACCCCUACAGAGCAGGGUGAUUCUCUUUUUCACUGUUAUCACCACGCUUGCAGUAGAGGCCAUCCGGGACGAGAGCUCCCUGCAUGUACCGUACCAGCUCGCUUGGGCAUCACUCGCGGGGGGAAACCAAGCUCAGCCGUCGUGGGCAUUAUUGGGCGAGUCCGAACUACUCAAUUCGUACAUACAUACAUACAUACAUACAUAUACAUACAUACAUCAUGAGUUGACGGGCAGACCGCCAUUGGGGUGGAGCACCUGCGGUUGUACAGCAUGUAGUACCGUGAGUACGGCAAUUACGGCACGCACAGUAGUGGAACAUGAGAAUAAACACAAAUAAUAAAUACAAAAGCGGUGAAAAGCAAAGGUGUAUAUCAUUAGCGUGUCAAUUGAAUCAGUUAAUAGCUGUAGCAGCUGGUUCACAUGGUAUAGACGACACACAUAACAUUUACAAAUACUAAGCGCUAAGCCUCUUCAUCGGCAUAUAUCUUGAGAGUGGCCUUUUCAGCGAAAGGCCAGCUGCUGCAAUAAACUUAUAUCUCCACAUAAGAGAUAAAAAUGAAGUUAUCCCACCUGUCCGCUGAAGUAGGUGCCAUCAGCACUAGCCAGGAAGACGUAACACGGCCCCACCUAUAGGACACAACAAAAGGGACAAAACCCCCCUAAGGAAAACACGCUCACACUGUUUAGUAAAGAGGUUUAAGAGAGGUUUGGGACGGGGUUUUGAAGGAAUAUAUUCCUGUGUUUUGUUGGAUUUGGGUUUCAAGCAUAUGUUCCCUUGUUGGAAGGGGUCACCAAAUUGUAGUGCUUAGGACGGAAAAAAAGACGCCUAGCGAAUGCAGGGUGAUGCAAACGAGGCAUAGUUGGU